UACGAAGGGGGCGAGCGUUGUUCGGAUUUACUGGGCGUAAAGCGCACGCAGGUGGCUGAGUCAGUCGAUUGUGAAAGCCCUGGGCUUAACCUGGGAAUUGCAGUCGAUACUACUCAGCUAGAGUAUGGGAGAGGGUAGUGGAAUUCCCGGUGUAGCGGUGAAAUGCGUAGAUGAUCGGGAGGAACAUCAGGUGCGAAGGCGGCUUCUGGACGGUGAACUA
rnacentral:rRNA from 1 species